CCUACGGAGGCUGCAGUGAGGAAUAUUUGUCAAUGGGCUUACGCCUGAACCAGCCAAAUCGCGUGAGGGAAGACUGCCCUAUGGGUUGUAAACCUCUUUUGUCAGGGAGCAACGCCGGCUACGUGUAGCCGGACUGAGAGUACCUGAAGAAAAAGCAUCGGCUAACCCCGGGCCAGCAGCCGCGGUAAUACGGAGGAUGCGAGGGUUUUCCGGAUUGUGUGGGGUUUAAGGGUUCGUAGGCGGGAUGCCAAGUCAGUGGUAAAAUUGCGGGGCUCAACCCCCCUCCGCCGUUGAAACUGGCGUUCUUGAGUGGGAGAGAAGUAUGCGGAAUGCGUGGUGUAGCGGUGAAAUGCAUAGAUAUCACGCAGAACUCCGAUUGCGAAGGCAGCAUACCGGCGCCCAACUGACGCUGAAGCACGAAAGCGUGGGUAUCGAACAGGAUUAGAUACCCCUGUAGUC
rnacentral:rRNA from 1 species